rnacentral:rRNA from 1 species
UACAGAGGUCUCAAGCGUUGUUCGGAUUCAUUGGGCGUAAAGGGUGCGUAGGCGGCGCGGUAAGUCGGGUGUGAAAUCUCGGAGCUUAACUCCGAAACUGCAUUCGAUACUGCCGUGCUUGAGGACUGGAGAGGAGACUGGAAUUUACGGUGUAGCGGUGAAAUGCGUAGAUAUCGUAAGGAAGACCAGUGGCGAAGGCGGGUCUCUGGACAGUUCCUGACGCUGAAGCACGAAGGCCAGGGGGAGCAAACGGG